AGAACAUGUUUUGAUCCCAGUUAUGGAAGGAACUGGUGCCGUUACCACUGAAAGUUUUCUCUUCUUUGACUGUGUGUGUUUCUCUCUUUUCAGUGCUAAGAAGUUAGUAACAGAAAUGAACACAACAAUGCUUGAAUGGAACUGCUAUAAAAACUGCAACUAAAAUCCACAUAUAUCUCAAUAUAACUUUUUGUUUUAGACCACAGAAGCCUCUUCAAGGUCAGAGAUCAGGGAUCAGAAGAAAGUAGUAUUGAGGCCAUUGAUUUCUUCCCUGGUUUUCUCUGUUAGGAAACUUCUGAACUGAAAAGAGCAGCAGUUGGGACUGAAAAACUGUCAGCACAAAAUGUUCUGUUACACAACUUGGGAGGAAUAUCUAUGAGAAACCCCAUGUUCCUUGCUGAGUGGUUUGAAAUUUCCUUACACUAUGGCCUGCUGUAAGUUUCUACUGGGGUGGCAAGAGAUCCAAAAAAUGGGUGCUCAGCGAGAUUGGAAGCAAGCCUGAAUUGACGCAAAUGGUGAAAAAGAAGAAAUUCAAGUACUAUGGUCACGUUUGAAUACCAGGAGGAGACAGUGGAGAAAAGGAUAUAAUAGAAAGUUGUGUGACAGGGAAGAGAAACAACAUAGAAGACCAGGAUUACAUACAAUACAUAAAAAUAUAAUGGGAAGGGAGACAGCAGAAAGCCAAGUGGAGAGUAUAUAUCCAUCAUGUCUCAACCAUCCUGAUGAAGAUGACACUUGAAUGCUUGUUAAUCUAUAGCUAUUGUUGGUGCCUAUCAAUACAAUCAUUAAAAAUCAGCUAA